UAGGGAAUCUUCGGCAAUGGACGGAAGUCUGACCGAGCAACGCCGCGUGAGUGAAGAAGGUUUUCGGAUCGUAAAGCUCUGUUGUUAGAGAAGAACGUUGGUAGGAGUGGAAAAUCUACCAAGUGACGGUAACUAACCAGAAAGGGACGGCUAACUACGUGCCAGCAGCCGCGGUAAUACGUAGGUCCCGAGCGUUGUCCGGAUCUAUUGGGCGUAAAGCGAGCGCAGGCGGUUCUUUAAGUCUGAAGUUAAAGGCAGUGGCUUAACCAUUGUACGCUUUGGAAACUGGAGGACUUGAGUGCAGAAGGGGAGAGUGGAAUUCCAUGUGUAGCGGUGAAAUGCGUAGAUAUAUGGAGGAACACCGGUGGCGAAAGCGGCUCUCUGGUCUGUAACUGACGCUGAGGCUCGAAAGCGUGGGGAGCAAACAGGAUUAGAUACCCUGGUAGUCCACGCCGUAAACGAUGAGUGCUAGGUGUUAGGCCCUUUCCGGGGCUUAGUGCCGCAGCUAACGCAUUAAGCACUCCGCCUGGGGAGUACGACCGCAAGGUUG
rnacentral:rRNA from 1 species